AUGUUGACAGUCUGACCUGGAAACAGAGACAACACAACCAUCUUUGACCUUUGAUGUAAUCUGUAGCGUUUGAAGCUCGUGUUGCGUUCAAAUCCUGUUGUCUGGCUCCCCCUGGUGCUCAUUGCCAACCUCUUAUGAGACAAUAGAUCCACGCUGCUUAAAAUAUUCAGUAGUCCCAGUUUGCCCUGCACAUUUUCAUGCCUCUCUUUGUAUUUCUGAUAAUUGCCGGAGCUCAGGUCGCCCUCGACGCUGCUCUGAGGCUUCAGGGACUUGCUGGCUAAUCACAGCGAGUUGCCCAUCCUAUUUCCAGUUCUCACACACGGUCAAGUUCACCGCGGGGGAGGGCUUGGCAAGAUUGAUGACAAGGGAGGUCUGCAGUUUCCAAAGCACUUCCUCACCUCAGCGCUGCGGCAGGUCAGACAAGGUGACGGCUCCCUGCUGUCUGUGAUUCAUGGGUGUGCUAGGCAGCGUUUAAUGAGAGAGUAACUCAAGCCUUUUAUCACAGCAAGGGCUGAAAUAACAAAUGAGCAGCAGAUGAAAGAAGGAGGUGUGUUAGGACUGAUCCGGUGUUGCAGAUGCUGAUGUGGGUCCUCAGAAUGGCGAAGUGUUGGCAGUUAGACGUUCAUUCACUGAUCUUGCUUAUGUGGUGGUAUUAAAGAUGACUUGAACAUGAAA